rnacentral:rRNA from 1 species
GACGUAGGGCGCGAGCGUUGUCCGGAUUUAUUGGGCGUAAAGAGCUCGUAGGCGGCUUGUCGCGUCGUCCGUGAAAACCUGGGGCUCAACCCCAGGCUUGCGGUCGAUACGGGCAGGCUCGAGUUCGGUAGGGGCAUGCGGAACUGAUGGUGGAGCGGUGAAAUGUGUUGAUAUCAUCAGGAACUCCGGUGGCGAAAGCGGCGUGCUGGACCUUUACUGACGCUGAUGCGCGAAAGCCAGGGGAGCGAACGGG